AUUGAACGCUGGCGGCAUGCUUUACACAUGCAAGUCGAACGGCAGCGCGGGCUUCGGCCUGGCGGCGAGUGGCGAACGGGUGAGUAAUGCAUCGGAACGUGCCCAGUAGUGGGGGAUAGCCCGGCGAAAGCCGGAUUAAUACCGCAUACGACCUGAGGGUGAAAGCGGGGGACCGAAAGGCCUCGCGCUAUUGGAGCGGCCGAUGUCGGAUUAGCUAGUUGGUGGGGUAAAGGCUUACCAAGGCGACGAUCCGUAGCUGGUCUGAGAGGACGACCAGCCACACUGGGAGUGAGACACGGCCCAGACUCCUACGGGAGGCAGCAGUGGGGAAUUUUGGACAAUGGGGGAAACCCUGAUCCAGCCAUGCCGCGUGCGGGAAGAAGGCCUUCGGGUUGUAAACCGCUUUUGUUCGGGAAGAAAUCCUGUGGGCUAAUACCCCGGGGGGAUGACGGUACCGGAAGAAUAAGCACCGGCUAACUACGUG
rnacentral:rRNA from 1 species